AUGAUCACUAGGUUAAACACUGUAACUAACGGUCACUAGGUUAAGCACUGUAGGUAACAGUCACUAGGUUAAGCGCUGCAGGUAAGGGUCACUAGGUUAAGCGCUGCAGAUAACGGUCACUAGGUUAAGCGCUGCAGGUAACAGUCACUAGGUUAAGCGCCGCAGGUAACAGUGACUAGGUGAAGAUCUAAGGUAACGGUCACUAGGUUAAGAGGUGAGGUAAUGAUCACUAGGUUAAGCACUGUAACUAACGGUCACUAGGUUAAGUGCUGCAGGUAACAUUCACUAGGUUAAGCGCCGCAGGUAACAGUGACUAGGUGAAGAUCUAAGGUAACGGUCACUAGGUUAAGAGGUGAGAUAAUGAUCACUAGGUUAAACACUGUAACUAACGGUCACUAGGUUAAGCACUGUAGGUAACGGUAACUAGGUUAAGCGCUGCAGGUAACGGUCACUAGGUUAAGCGCCGCAGGUAACAGUCACUAGGUUAAGAGGUGAGGUAACGGUCACUAGGUUAAGCACCGCAGGUAACGGUCACUAGGUUAAGAGGUGAGGUAACGGUCACUAGGUUAAGCGCUGCAGGUAACGGUCACUAGGUUAAGCGCCGCAGGUAACAGUCACUAGGUUAAGCACUGCAGGUAACGGUCACUAGGUUAAGAGGUGAGGUAACGGUCACUAGGUUAAGCGCCACAGGUAACGGUCACUAGGUUAAGAGGUGAGGUAACGGUCACUAGGUUAAGCGCCGCAGGUAAUGGUCACUAGGUUAAGAGGUGAGGUAACGGUCACUAGGUUAAGCGCCGCAGGUAACAAUCACUAGGUCAAGCGCCGCAGGUAACGGUCACUAGGUUAAGCGCCGCAGGUAACAAUCACUAGGUCAAGCGCCGCAGGUAACGGUCACUAGGUUAAGCGCCGCAGGUAACGAUCACUAGGUCAAGCGCUGCAGGUAACGGCCACUAGGUUAAGAGGUGAGGUAACGGCCACUAGGUUAAGAGGUGAGGUAACGGUCACUAGGUUAAGCGCUGCAGGUAACGGCCACUAGGUUAAGAGGUGAGGUAACGGCCACUAGG